rnacentral:rRNA from 1 species
UACGGAGGGGGCGAGCGUUAUUCGGAAUUAUUGGGCGUAAAGGGCGCGUAGGCGGCUGUACAAGUCAAAGGUGAAAUCCCUCGGCUCAACUGAGGAACUGCCUUUGAAACUGUACGGCUUGAGGCCGGGAGGGGGUAGCGGAAUUCCCAGUGUAGCGGUGAAAUGCGUAGAUACUGGGAGGGACACCAGUGGCGAAGGCGGCUACCUGGACCGGUUCUGACGCUGAGGCGCGAAAGCGUGGGUAGCAAACAGG